rnacentral:lncRNA from 1 species
UCACACUUCUCUCACACAAAAAAAAAAUUCACACUAUUUGGCUUUUACUUCUCUCGAAUGGUCUCACCAAUCGCUCUUGCCUUUUUCCACUCGAUUUUCACCCCUCAAAGUUCUUCGCAAACUAAGUCGACAAAUCAAUACCGUUUGGGGUCGGCUUACAAAAUUGAUGUGGCUUUGGUGGGGCUGAUGUCGGGAUUAAAGGUAGGCUAUCAAACAAAAUAGAAAGGUUAAGUGUGGCUAGAAAUGAAUUUUGAGUACUUCAGACAGAAAACAAUGCUUUACAAACUCAAAAUGAAUUUCAAUCACCUUUUUUUUUUACUUCUGAAACAUUUUUUUUCUUCUUUUUUUUUUUAAUUUCUCUUUUUUUUCCAAUAUUGAAUACAAAAGAAGACAAGGAAAAGAAAAAAAUUGAAUAUAAAUUUUUUUGAAUUUUUUUUUGAAUUUUUUUUUGAAUUUUUUCCUUCUUUUUUACAAUACCGAAAUGCCAAUAACUUCGAUUCUUACUCCAAUUCAGCUAGCUCUGAUAACAAAUGAUACGCCCUGGCUCGGGAAGGAGAGUCGAGUCGUAGAUGUGCCCGAUCGUGAAUUGGAGUAAUACUCGAGGGUGGACGAAAUAGGUUAAGAAAGAAGAGAUAAAGGCUCAAAUUUAGUUCAAAAGGGGUUAUGAAAUGUAUUGAGGAUGAUAGGUGAAUGAAAACCAAGUAUUCAAGUUGAACCAACACAAUAUAAGUGUGUUAACCCGGGACUUAUACGAAUACUUAGGAAAGGUU